GUCGGAAGUGGAGCGAGCCAGACUCCAGCAAGUGGCCUUGUUCCACCUGGACCAGAGGGACCUGGACUUUAAGAUCAGCAUUCCAAGAGGAGUACUAUCCAAAUAAUAGGAGGAAAAUAUUAUUUUACAAGAAAAGUACCAUGAGGUGAAACUGAUCAUUCCAAUUUUACAAGAAUCCAAAAAGAAAUACGCAAACGUCAAAAAUCACUGCGCAGGAAGUUUGACUCUUUUUCCAAGGAAAAAAAAGA